rnacentral:lncRNA from 1 species
CUUCUUUGAAUUAGUUACCAUUUAAACAUACAUAACUCCAAAACAUAUUCUUUAAUAACUACUUCAAUAGCUAACAUUAGCCAUAUCAUUUGGACAUGCUCAAAAUGAUUAAGACUCUAUACAUGCCAUAGUUUAAACAUUUUGAAAAGCACAUAAUACCGAGAUGGUUAUGAUAGUGUGAUACGAGCUCCGACGGUCCACUAUUCGAUCAAGUUCAAAUCACUAUAAAACAAAGAAAAGAAAGAGAUGUGUAAGCUAUAAAUAGCUUAGUAAGUUACAUGUAAACAAUAAUUACUCAAUUAAUAAUUAACACUUUUAACAUAUAACUAAUCAAAACAUUUCUUAGCAAUUUCAAUCACUUACACAUACACAAUCUUACCAAUUCAUUUGCAUAUACAUUUUCACACUUAACAUUUCAUAUUCACUUUAAUUCAUUAUUAAUCCCGUUGAACACUUGGAAUAUACACGGAUACGUAGAGAUUUAGCACAUAAGUGCCACACUGAUAUGUAGCCGAAGCUACCACUGAUAUGUAGCCGAAGCUACCACUGGAUGUAGCCAAAGCUACCACUGAAAUGUAGCCGAAGCUACCACUGAUCAAUAACACUGGAAAUGUCCACGGGUCUGCUCACACAAGCUGUCAGGUGUCUGCAACACAUGCUAGAUCACCCAGCACCCGGGACUCACUGUAACACUGUAACACUGGUCUCUAGUGACAUGUCACUUGUAUCCAAUUCUAUUCCUAAGUUCAACCGAGAAUUUACACUUAACACUUUAUUUUCAACACUUUAUCACUUGAAUAAUUCAUGAACAACUUUCCUUCCACAUUCAAUAUUAAUUCACAUAUCAAAUAUAAUUCACAAUUUAUACAAAUAUAACUAUUAUUUACAUAUAACUUACCUCGGAUGCAAAACGACUAUUUUUGUAAUUUAGUCGAUAACUUUCUCUUUUUCCCGAUCACUUGCACUAUUUCUUCUUUCUUGAUCUAUAUUAACACAAUUUAAUACAUUUUAUCAAUAUUCCAUUCAAAUACAAUUCAUACACAACAUUUUGACACAUUUACAUUUUUCCCCAUAACUUUUCAAAAAUUCCACUUUUGUUCCUAAGCUCGUAAAAAUAAAAUUCUCUAAAUUCUUAAAUUUCAAACUUCACUAAAUCAUAUUUCAUGCUCAUAACGGGCCUCAAUCUCACAAAAUCACAACUUUAUGCACACUUUACCAUCUUUCACAAUUUAGCCCUUUUUCAACAUUUUUCAUUGAAAUUCAUCUAGUAAAACUUGUAAUUAACACUUCAAACAUUCAUUAUCUAACAUCACUAAUCAAUUUACAAUUAUAUCAUGAAUGGGUCAAUUUUUAAACUUUAAUUUCAUUUAAAUUAAAUGGUAGAAACAUGAAAUUCAAGCUUCAAUAAGCAUAAAAUACGAAAAUAAUUAAAAACGGGGCAAGAAAUCACUUACAAUUGAGCUUAGGAAAAUCAAAACCCUUAACUAUGGUAACCUGAAACUUUCGGCAGCAAGCUUCUGAUUUUUUUGAAGAAGAUGGACACUUAUUUUCUCUUUAUUUUGUCUUUUACCCAAUUUGGACAAAAAUGCCCUUGACCCAUUACUUAGAUAUUUUUCUAGAAAUACCCUUUUGUGUCCAUAACACUAAUUUAUGGUCUAAUUGCCACAUAAACACUUCCAAUUUCAUGCAAUAAUUCAAUUAAGUCAUUUAAUCACUAAUUAGACACACUUUGCAUUUUUCUCAAUUUAGUACUAAAAAUUCAAUUAAGCACUAAAGCAUUAAAAUUUCCUAUCCAUAUUUCCACACAAUAUUUCAAUCAAUCAGUAACUAAUAAAAAUUUAUAAAAUUAAACUAUUUCACUUCGGAUUUGUGGUUACGAAACCACUAUUCCGAUUAGGCCCUAUUUCGGGCUAUCACAAUUCUCCCCCCUUAGGGAUUUUCGUCCCCGAAAAUCUUACCAGUGAAUAAGUUGGGAUACUGUUUCCUCAUAGCCUCCUCGGUUUCCCAUGUU